rnacentral:rRNA from 1 species
UACAGAGGAGCCAAGCGUUGUCCGGAUUGACUGGGCGUAAAGCGCACGCAGGCGGUUGCGCGCGUGGGGUGUGAAAUCUGGCCGCUUAACGGCCAGGCGCCAUCCCAUACGGCGCGACUGGAGUGAUGCAGAGGUCGAUGGAAUUGCCGGUGUAGCGGUGAAAUGCGCAGAUAUCAGGAGGAACACCGGUGGCGAAGGCGGAUCUCUGGGCCAUUACUGACGCUGAGGAGCGAAAGCGUGGGGAGCGAACAGG